GGGGAUUUAGCUCAGUGGUAGAGCGCUUGCCUAGGAAGCGCAAGGCCCUGAUUCGAUCCCCA
rnacentral:tRNA from 1 species